AGGAAAGCAGGGGAUCGCAAGACCUUGCGCUCUUGGAGCGGCCGAUGUCUGAUUAGCUAGUUGGUGAGGUAAAGGCUUACCAAGGCGACGAUCAGUAGCUGGUCUGAGAGGACGACCAGCCACACUGGGACUGAGACACGGCCCAGACUCCUACGGGAGGCAGCAGUGGGGAAUUUUGGACAAUGGGAGAAACCCUGAUCCAGCCAUGCCGCGUGAGUGAAGAAGGCCUUCGGGUUGUAAAGCUCUUUCAGCCGGAACGAAACGGUCACGGCUAAUACCUGUGAUCACUGACGGUACCGGAAGAAGAAGCACCGGCUAACUACGUGCCAGCAGCCGCGGUAAUACGUAGGGUGCAAGCGUUAAUCGGAAUUACUGGGCGUAAAGCGUGCGCAGGCGGUUUUGUAAGUCAGAUGUGAAAUCCCCGGGCUUAACCUGGGAACUGCGUUUGAAACUACAAAGCU
rnacentral:rRNA from 1 species